rnacentral:rRNA from 1 species
UGACCUCAAAUCAGGUAGGAUUACCCGCUGAACUUAAGCAUAUCAAUAAGCGGAGGAA